rnacentral:lncRNA from 1 species
CAAAUACAUUACAACUUCCUGAAAUCAUUUAAAAUGUGUGAACCUGAAAAAAAUCCGGUUUCGAAAUUGUGAACAUCACUGAAGCUUUUAAGUAUCGUAUAAAAAAAGAAGGAGAUGCGGUAUAAUAGCCAAUGCGACAACUAUACUCCUGUCAUCGUAUGCGUUUUGUUUCGGAAAAUAACAACUUCAUAGUAUUUAUAUGCCCUAUUUAUGGGCAUUAUGUUUUUUUAUCUGUGCGUCUGUUCGUUCGUCCGUUUGUAAACAUGUUUCCUAUGAUAUGAUCUUUCUAAUUGUAAUGUAAAAUUAGAGUUUUGGCUCCAAUUUCAUGAUCCACUGAAAAUAGAAAAUGACAGUGCGAGUGGGGCAUCCGUGUUCUAUGGACACAUUCUUGUUUCAAGAUUUAAUAAAAAUCCGUCAAUGUC